rnacentral:rRNA from 1 species
UACGUAGGGGGCUAGCGUUGUCCGGAUUUAUUGGGCGUAAAGAGCGUGUAGGCGGCCAUGUAGGUCCGGUGUGAAAACUCGAGGCUUAACCUCGAGAUGUCAUCGGAAACCAUUUGGCUAGAGUCCGGAAGAGGAGAGUGAGUACUUCGGUGUAGCGGUGAAAUGCGCAGAUAUCAGGAGGAACACCGGUGGCGAAGGCGGGUCUCUGGGCCGAUACUGACGCUGAGGAGCGAAAGCGUGGGGAGCGAACAGG